CGUGCGAAGGUAGCAUAAUCACUUGUUCUCUAAAUAAGGACUAGUAUCAACGGCAUCACGAGGGUUAUACUGUCUCCUCUCUCCAAUCAGUGAAACUGAUCUCCCCGUGAAGAAGCGGGGAUAAAUCUAUAAGACGAGAAGACCCCAUGGAGCUUUAAACUCAACAAUAUCUCCAUCUACAAAUUCUACAUAAAUUAGGAGACUCUACUUGUUAGUUUUAGGUUGGGGUGACCGCGGAGAAAAACUAAACCUCCACAACGAACGGAAUUAAUUCCUAAUCCAAGAGCAACCGCUCUAAGAAUCAACAAAUUGACAUAAAAUGAUCCGACUAUCGAUCAACGAACCAAGUUACCCUGGGGAUAACAGCGCAAUCCAUUUCAAGAGCUCCUAUCGACAAAUGGGUUUACGACCUCGAUGUUGGAUCAGGGUAUCCCAGUGGUGCAGCCGCUACUAAAGGUUUGUUUGUUCAACAAUUAAAACCC
rnacentral:rRNA from 1 species